rnacentral:rRNA from 1 species
UACGAAGGUGGCAAGCGUUGUUCGGAUUUACUGGGCGUAAAGGGAGCGUAGGUGGUUAGGUAAGCCCUCCGGGAAAUCUUCAGGCUUAACCUGAAAAGGUCGGGGGGGACUGCCUAGCUAGAGGGCGGGAGAGGAGCGCGGAAUUCCCGGUGUAGCGGUGAAAUGCGUAGAUAUCAUUUGGAACGCCCACGGUGAAAACAGCUGGCUGGGGAAGUGCUGACGCUGAGACACGAAAGCCAGGGGAGCGAACGGG